UUUCUUUGUACGACAGUAAUCGGUGCACAGGGGUUGUUGGAGUCCAGCCCUGAUUUGAAGGCAGCAGGUAUCUCUUGCAGCUGCAGCACUCCAACUUCCUCUAAUGGCACGGUCAGGUCGCAGGAAACCACAGCGGCAGCGCGGUGCAGCUUCCCACGCCCGCCCUUCGAGCUUGUUCCCCAGCGGCGCAGCUCAGCCUCCUCCAAGUCUCAGCCUCAUACCGGCGGGGAGACAAAGCUGGCGCUGGGAGUGGGAAAAGGGCCCGCGAAAUGGCCUCAAGAUCGUGCCUUUGUUAGAAGAAACAUGGAAAAGACGGCCUUGUUUUACCCAGAGAAGGAGCGUAAUGCGGAGCGAACCAUUCGUCACCCCCAUUCUCUGCUGCACUUAACUGUGUACAGUGAUGAUAAUUAGCCUCUGGGUCCCUGAAGUCCCUGGUUCAGUUCUUCCGUCUGUAUUCUAGAGAUAAUUAUUUAUUACCAAGUUUGAAUAAAGAGCUAUAUCCCCU
rnacentral:lncRNA from 1 species